CAUUAUGAUUACUCUACUAGCAAGGAAAUAUGAAUGAUCUACACUAAAACAUCCUAGCUCUAACCUAAUCACCCUUAAUCUCCCUAACCCAUGAAUUCAAAAGGUGAUUACUCACUAAUCUCCAUGAUUCCUCUUAAACCCAUAUUGGAUUCUAGAUUAACCAUGUAGAGAAAUAGAUAAGAAUUCAACAAGAACACAAGAUGAAAGCAAUGAAAUCUGAAUCAAAAGAGGUUUUUUACUAGUUCUCCUCUAGAAAAGAGAUUAUUUUGCCUCCAAUGGCUUACAAAAGUACUUAACUUAGGUUUAGAAAGUGUAAAACAUCAAAACAAAUGACCAAAAGGUCCCUGAAAUAACAUAAAAAAUCGUCCAAGCAAAACACCCGGAGUGACCUAGCAUAGUCGCUCCAGGAGGUCACUCCCGACGCGUUUUUUCGUGUCUCGGCGCGUCAAAACGCGAGUGACUUGAGCUGGUCGCUCUGGCUGGUCGCUCUGGCUGGGAGUGACUUGAGCUAGUCGCUCUGGCUGGUCGCUCUGGCUGGGAGCGACCUCGGUAGGUCGCUCUGAGAGGUCACUCUGCGAUGCUCGACCAGGAUGGAUAUGCCUCUAGUAAAUUGAUCAUAACUCCUUCAUUACAUCUCCAAAUGACUUGAAACCACUUCCAUUAGAAAGCUAACUCAAUUUUCUGUGUCUCCACAAAAUCUUAGCAACAGGAGAUUUCUCUAAAGGCUCCAUCCAUGCUCAUCUUUCACCUCCUUUUGGAUCACAAUGCUCCCAAACAUCUCAAAUCACUCCAUGGCACACUCCAACACCUAAUAAGGACAAUGAAUGCAAAAUGCAACCUAGACAUGGCUAAAUCCUAAUCUAUAUGAUGAAAAUGCUCAUGGAUGAAUGGAUAAAACAAUGUAAAUAUGCAAGAUAUCAACUCCCCCAAACUUGUUCUUUUACUUGUCCACAAGUGAACUUUCUAGAACUCAUAAGGAGAGAGGUUGAAGGUGGGAGCACAUAGCCAAAAGAAACACAACUAGCACACUCUCUUAUUACACUCUAGCUUCUCUAGGCCUAUCUCAACUCUUUUUGCUCUUACACUCAUCAUCAAGCAUCCACACAUUCAAAUCAACCAACUCUCACAUUCAUUAAGCACAAAACAUUAGGUGAAUUCUUGCAAAUGGUCAGUUGGUCCAAAUCAUUUGGUUGGGUAAGAGAAGGUUUUUAUUCAAGUGAUUCAAGAGGUUCAAAACAUAUGAUCUUUAAGGUGGUUUACUCUCGAAACAAGUAGACUUGACAUUGCACAUAAUAUAUCUAAGAAAGGGAUCAACUCAUGCUUACAAUGCUCAAUCUCCAUUGUUCUACCCUUUUCCCAAACAUACAAUUACACAAUCAUUCCCAAAUGUCAAACCCAACUCACAUCUCUCACCAAAAGAUCCUAAGAACUUUAACUCCUUCUCCUUGAAAUCUACAAGGGAUUUUUUUCAGAACCUCAAAAUAUUUCUUAGCUCCUAACAACUUUGCUAGCCCCUUUUUCUUUUCUUUUUUUUCCUUUUCUUUUCUCUUUUUUUUUCGUUUUUUUUUUCUUUUUCCUUUUUUUUUUAUUUUUUUAGGCUGGGGGCCAAGACUUUCAAAACUUGAGCUAGAGGCUUCUCUACUUAUCCCAAUAAAACAAUUCACUUAAGCACAAAAAGUCUAUUCUUUUCCUUUUUCAUUUCUCCCAAAUCAUAAUCACAACACUCACCCCCCACCUAUAGCUAGACAAUAGAGUGCCCAAUCUAGCAAGAAUGAAGAUCAAGCAUUGUCGUUCCCGAUACUCUCAACAUUAUGCACAUGUAAGACUUUCCGAAAAAGGCCUCACUCAUCAAACAAUGAAAGCUUAAAAGGAGGGAAAGGUUUUGGGAGUGGUCUACCACUAGAGUUUGUCAAAAAAGAUUGGCAUAAAAGAUGUGACAACUCAAGUGUGUAUAGCCAUGACUCAGUACACAAGGGACCAUGAGCAAGAAGCAUUAAGUUCGUUCAGUUCAAAUAAGGUUGUAGUUGGCUUCAAAGACUGAGUUUCAGCAAUCAACAAGUUUCAGGAAGAGUUUUCAAGGCUCGAAACAUACAAGUCUUUUUGAGAGGUGCAAAAGCUACUCAGGUGCAACGUAGUGUUCUUUACAAGGCAUUUAAAAUCAUUGCUCCCAAUGCAAGUGAAUGCAACCUAUAUGCUCUAGACUCUCCUAGAAAUGCAAAUGAUGCAAACUAAAUGAUUUUUUUUUUUUUUUUUAUAUGCAAAUAGGUAUGCAAUGCAUGAAUCAAUGAAACAACAUCAAAGCAAACAUGAUCAAAUACUUGGUACCUCCCCCAAACUUGAGUUACACAGUCUCUGUGUUGUCAAGUAGAGAGAGAUACCGAAAAGAAGACUAAUAUGCAAAAAUAAAAUGGUAUAUACAAGGGAGUGUGGUGGUUUACCUUCUAUAGGGAAUGAGUAGAGGGAGAUGCUCCCUUCUCGUCAUCCUCAGGUGGUAACUCUUCAAGAUGCUCAUCAGCAGGAGUGGCCAUCUCUUCAAUGUAGAAGGCUUGCCCGAACACAGUUGGUUUCUCAUUUUCUCCUUGAUGUCAAAGUGGAGGAUGUUCUCUUUACCCAAAUGGAGAUCAAUCGUGCCUUCCUUCACAUUAACAAUAGCUCCCGCUGUAGCUAAGAAUGGUCUUCCUAGAAUCAAUGGGUCUUGAGCCUCCUCACCCAUCUCAAGCACCACAAAAUCUGUAGGUAUCUCAUACCUUCCAAUCUUCACAGGGAGGUCCUCUAAGAUACCCACAGGAUACUUCACUGAACGAUCAGCUAACACCAGAGAGAGUCUACACUUCUUGUACUGAGUGAAUCCAAGCUUCUUUGCAACAGACAAAGGCAUCAAGCUGACACUAGCUCCCAAAUCGCAGAGACUUUUCUCAAAUACCAUAGGUCCAAGAGCACAAGGUAGUGUGAAGCUUCCUGGAUCCUCUAAUUUCUCUGGAACAUCAAGCCUCUGGAUGAUGGCAUUGCACUCAUGGGUAAGAAUCAUCAUGCCUUCCAUCUCCUUCUUCUUUGCAGCUACAACAUCUUUCAGGAACUUGCUGUAUUGAGGAAUCAACAUGAAAGCAUCGAUGAUGGGCAUUGCAACCUGAGCUUCACUCAUUUGCUUCUCAAACAGAGCCUUGUACUUCUCUAGCAGCUGCUUCUUGAAUCUACCAGGGAAUGGAAGUUUGGGUUCAUAAGGAGGAGGAACAAAAGAACUUUCACUUGCUGGAGUAACAACUUCACCAUCCUUUACUGUCUUCUUCUCUUCCCCAACCUUUCCUUUACCUUUGGCUUCCACUAUCUUUUCCAAGAUCUCGUCAUUGAUCUUCUCAUCAACAAUCACCACUUCAUCAUCUAUGUUGAUGGCAACCCCCUCACCUAGUUUCUCAGCAUCCUUGGUGAGGGUUUUAGGAGGUAACUGCUUACCACUCCUAAGGGUGAUAGCUUUGGCCUCCUUGGGAUUUUGGUCAGACUUUCCAGGUAGAGAUCCUUGCUGGCGAUUCUAGUGAGUGUUCAUGGAAGCAAACUGAUUCUCUAAAUUCCUGACUGUAGAAGCAAAGUGUGAGAAUUUGUUGUUGAGCUCAUUGUAGCUCCCAUCAAUCUUGGUAUGAAGGUUCUUCAACUCAUAACCAACAUGCUUCUCACUUCUAGUCUGAGACUCCAAGAUUUGUUUCAGUAAGGUAUCAGUGCUGCUCUCUUGAGGAGCAGAGGAACCAGACGAGGGGUUUUGCUGAGGCUGAUAGCUGCCUUGCUGGUUGUUUUUUGGCGGAUAACCACUCUGUUGGUUGUUUGGAUAGGAUUUCUGUUGGUAGUUGUUGUACUGAAAGUUGGGCUCCUUUUUGUACCAGCUACCAUUGUUGUUAAUGAAACACAACUCCUCUUGACCUUCCAAACCCUCAACCUCAUUGACAGCAAGUGGAUCUUCCUGCUUGGAGUUACCAACAAACUUCAGCUGCUCUUGGGUUGCUUUUUCAGCAAUGAGUAGGUCGAUCUUGUCUUCCAAAGCUUUGAUCUCUUUCCUCGUCUGCUUAUCAUCUGUUCUACUACCUCUGUCGUGGUCUCCCCUGUAGACUGCAUCACUCUUUACCAUGUUGUCAACCAGCUCUUCUGCAUCUUCCUCAGUUCUCCCCAAGAAGAACCCAUUGCUAGCUGUAUCCAGUCUGGCUCUGUACUUAGGAAGAGCACCACGGUAGAAUGUGCUCAGCAAGCUCUCCUUAGAGAAGCCAUGGUGUGGGCAUUGAGCUUGGUAGCCCUUGAAUCUCUCCCAGGCUUCACUGAAACUUUCCAAGUUCUUCUGUUGAAAGCUGGAAAUCUCGCUUCUCAGCUUAGCAGUUCUUGAAAUAGAGAAGAACUUCUCCAAAAAUGCUUUCUUGCAGUCAUCCCAAGUGGUGAUGGAGUCGCUGGGUAGAGACUUCUCCCACUGACGUGCCUUAUCUCCCAAAGAGAAAGGGAAUAGCUUGAGCUUUAAGGCAUCUUCGGACACACCAUUGGUUUUUGACAACCCACAGUAGCUGUCCAACCUGUCCAAGUGAUCAAAUGGGUCUUCUAGUGCCAAGCCAUGAUACUUGUUGUUCUCGAUCACAUUGAGGAGUCCUGACUUGAUCUCAAAGUUGUUGGCUGCCACAGCGGGUGCUCGGAUUCCCAAUCUAUGACCAUGAAUGUUGGGACGGUCGUAAGUGCCAAUGGGUCGAGCUGCUCGCUGUUGGUUAGCUGGAGCAUUGUUAUUAGCGCCAUUUACGCCUGCAUCAUGCUGAUGUAUGUCUCCCAUAUCAGUGUGCAAUCUCUGCAAUUGAGCCUGUUGCUCUUCUUCUCUUCUCUUUCUAGCACACUCUCUCUCUAAAGCUCUGAUAUCUGCACUCUUGGAACUAGGUUUGAUGGACCCCUGCUCCUCAAGUGCAUAUACCUGUAGAUUAAAGGGAGGUGAAGAAGAAUCAGUAACAAAAGAAAAUAAAAAUGACUUAGUCUCAAGCAAGUGACUAAAUCUCAAUGUUGAAAUCUACUCAGAAUUUGGCAACGGCGCCAAUUUGAUGUUAGGAGUUUUCAAGGCUCCUAAGACAAAUGUUGUAGUAUAAAAGAUUGUCGAACCAGUUCUGAGGGAUAUCAAACCACUGAGAAUGCAAGUAUUCACUUAAUCUAAGUGCAACCAAUGAUUUAGAUGAGUUUUAAACUAUGAAUAAAACUAAAAAGCGAUAACAGAAUGAUACUUUCUUGACUAAGGGAAAAGAGAAUUCAUGGGCAUAGGAAUUAGACCUUGGGUGAUCAAGUAUCGAACUAAGGAUGGCAAAUGAUCAAUCAAACUAUCAACCUUAAGCCUAGACACAAUUCUAAGCAAGCUCUAUGUCUAGAUGAAUGCUCAUUUGCUAACACAUCUCAAACAUCAAAUGUCUUUGGUUGAAUAAUAUGAAAGCAAUCAUUACUAACAAGUCUAUUAGCUAUCUUAGCACCUUUAACAACAAAUGUCUUUGGCAAAGUAUACUAAAAGCCUAGGAGAGUUGUCUCGGGCAUUUCAUCGAACACCUUUCGGGUGAGAAAUGCCUAAGGAUCAACAACUGAGUGGCCAACUCAGAAGAUGCAUUAUGAUUACUCUACUAGCAAGGAAAUAUGAAUGAUCUACACUAAAACAUCCUAGCUCUAACCUAAUCACCCUUAAUCUCCCUAACCCAUGAAUUCAAAAGGUGAUUACUCACUAAUCUCCAUGAUUCCUCUUAAACCCAUAUUGGAUUCUAAAUUAACCAUGUAGAGAAAUAGAUAAGAAUUCAACAAGAACACAAGAUGAAAGCAAUGAAAUCUGAAUCAAAAGAGGUUUUUUACUAGUUCUCCUCUAGAAAAGAGAUUAUUUUGCCUCCAAUGGCUUACAAAAGUACUUAACUUAGGUUUAGAAAGUGUAAAACAUCAAAACAAAUGACCAAAAGGUCCCUGAAAUAACAUAAAAAAUCGUCCAAGCAAAACACCCGGAGUGACCUAGCAUAGUCGCUCCAGGAGGUCACUCCCGACGCGUUUUUUCGUGUCUCAGCGCGUCAAAACGCGAGUGACUUGAGCUGGUCGCUCUGGCUGGUCGCUCUGGCUGGGAGUGACUUGAGCUAGUCGCUCUGGCUGGUCGCUCUGGCUGGGAGCGACCUCGGUAGGUCGCUCUGAGAGGUCACUCUGCGAUGCUCGACCAGGAUGGAUAUGCCUCUAGUAAAUUGAUCAUAACUCCUUCAUUACAUCUCCAAAUGACUUGAAACCACUUCCAUUAGAAAGCUAACUCAAUUUUCUGUGUCUCCACAAAAUCUUAGCAACAGGAGAUUUCUCUAAAGGCUCCAUCCAUUCUCAUCUUUCACCUCCUUUUGGAUCACAAUGCUCCCAAACAUCUCAAAUCACUCCAUGGCACACUCCAACACCUAAUAAGGACAAUGAAUGCAAAAUGCAACCUAGACAUGGCUAAAUCCUAAUCUAUAUGAUGAAAAUGCUCAUGGAUGAAUGGAUAAAACAAUGUAAAUAUGCAAGAUAUCA
rnacentral:lncRNA from 1 species